AGAAUGGUGAGUCUUCUGCAUCUAAUUCUCUGGCCCAGCUUUCAAAGACUGCCAACCUGGCUGAAGCCAGUGCUUCUGAAGAAGAUAAAAUAAAAGCCAUGAUGAUACAGUCUUUCCGUGAAUAUGAUCCAGUCCAUCCCAUGAAGAAGCCCUUGGCUACACCUCCACCAUCAUAUGUCUGCUUUCGGUGCGGAAAACCUGGCCAC